CAGGUCUAAAGCAGGUCUAAAGCAGGUCUAAAGCAGGUCUAAAGCAGGUCUAAACCAGGUCUAAACCAGGACUAAACCAGGUCUAAAGCAGGUCUAAAGCAGGACUAAAGCAGGUCUAAAGCAGGUCUAAAGCAGGUCUAAAGCAGGUCUAAAGCAGGACUAAAGCAGGUCUAAAGCAGGUCUAAACCAGGUCUAAAGCAGGUCUAAAGCAGGACUAAAGCAGGUCUAAAGCAGGUCUAAACCAGGUCUAAAGCAGGUCUAAACCAGGUCUAAACCAGGUCUAAACCAGGUCUAAAGCAGGUCUAAAGCAGGUCUAAAGCAGGUCUAAACCAGGUCUAAAUCAGGUCUAAAUCAGGUCUAAACCAGGUCUAAAGCAGGUCUAAACCAGGUCUAAACCAGGUCUAAACCAGGACUAAACCAGGACUAAACCAGGACUAAAGCAGGUCUAAAGCAGGUCUAAAGCAGGUCUAAAGCAGGUCUAAACCAGGACUAAACCAGGACUAAAGCAGGUCUAAAGCAGGUCUAAAGCAGGUCUAAAGCAGGUCUAAAGCAGGUCUAAACCAGGACUAAACCAGGUCUAAACCAGGUCUAAACCAGGUCUAAACCAGGACUAAACCAGGUCUCACCACACUGGUCGCAGGGGAACAUGUGGUCUGGGUCCUGGUCUUGCUUGGCCCUCAGUUCGUGGUAGUACAGGUGUCUCUUGAGCGUCCCCUCCUGGUAGAAGCCUUUAUUGCACUGGGGGCAGGGGUGGGGCUUGGCGUGGCUCGCCUUGUGCUUCUGGAGCUGGUGUCUCUGGUGGAAGCCUUUGUGACACUCGGAGCAGAAGAAACGUUUGUGUUUGUAGAGCUCCCUACGGCGGCGACGCUCCUCCUCGCGCUGCUCCUCCUCGCGCUGCUCCUCCUCGCGCUGCUCCUCCUCGCGCU
ensembl:lncRNA